ensembl:miRNA
CGGCGCUCGAGGACUGGAGUUUGACACCCGUGCUUUAGGUCAUUAUAUGCCAGGGGUGGGGAACUCCAGGCCUCGAGGGCCA